GGAGUUAGCCGGUGCUUCUUCUGUGAGCGAUGUCCUUCCUGCCGGCUAUUAACCCGCAGGCCUUCUUCCUCACUGAAAGUGCUUUACAACCCGAAGGCCUUCUUCACACACGCGGCAUGGCUGGAUCAGGGUUGCCCCCAUUGUCCAAUAUUCCCCACUGCUGCCUCCCGUAGGAGUCUGGGCCGUGUCUCAGUCCCAGUGUGGCUGAUCAUCCUCUCAGACCAGCUACGGAUCGUCGCCUUGGUGAGCCGUUACCUCACCAACCAGCUAAUCCGACAUAGGCUCAUCCGAUAGCGCGAGGCCCGAAGGUCCCCCGCUUUCCCCCGUAGGGCGUAUGCGGUAUUAGCCUGGGUUUCCCCAGGUUAUCCCCCACUACCGGGCAGAUUCCUAUGCAUUACUCACCCGUCCGCCGCUCGCCACCAGGGAGCAAGCUCCCCGUGCUGCCGCUCGACUUGCAUGUGUUAGGCCUGCCGCCAGCGUUCAAUCUGAGCCAGGAUCAAACUCUGA
rnacentral:rRNA from 1 species